rnacentral:rRNA from 1 species
CGCUGGUUCUAUUUUGUUGGUUUUCAGAGCCGUCGUAAUGAUCAAUAGGGACGGUCGGGGGCAUCCGUAUUCAAUCGUCAGAGGUGAAAUUCUUGGACCGAUUGAAGACGAACUACUGCGAAAGCUUUUGCCAAGGACGUUUUCGCUGAUCAGGAACGAAAGUUGGGGGAUCGAAGACGAUCAGAUACCGUCGUAGUCUCAACUAUAAACUAUGCGAAUUAGGGAUCGGGCGAUGUUUCUUUAUUCGACUCGCCCGGCACCUGAGGGAGAAAUCAAAACCGCGCUUCGGGGGAAGUACGGUCGCAAGGCUGAAACUUAAAGAAAUUGACGGAAGGGCACCACCAGGGGUGGAGCCUGCGGCUUAAUUUGACUCAACACGGGGAAACUCACCAGGUCCAGA